rnacentral:rRNA from 1 species
UACGGAAGGGGCAAGCGUUGUUCGGAAUCAUUGGGCGUAAAGGGUGCGUAGGUGGCGUCGUAAGUCGGGUGUGAAAUUUCGGAGCUUAACUCCGAAACUGCAUUCGAUACUGCGGUGCUUGAGGACUGGAGAGGAGACUGGAAUUUAAGGUGUAGCAGUGAAACGCGUAGAGAUCAUGAGGAAGACCAGUGGCGAAGGCGGGUCUCUGGACAGUUCCUGACGCUGAGGCACGAAGGUCAGGGGAGCAAACGGG